ACGGGAGGCAGCAGUAGGGAAUAUUGCACAAUGGGGGAAACCCUGAUGCAGCAACGCCACGUGUGGGAAGAAGCACUUCGGUGUGUAAACCACUGUCGUGAGGGAAUAAUGCUUGGCCUCGGCCAAGUUGAGUGUACCUCGAAAGGAAGCACCGGCAAACUUCGUGCCAGCAGCCGCGGUAAUACGAGGGGUGCAGGCGUUGUUCGGAAUCACUGGGCGUAAAGGGAGCGCAGGCGGAGAUGCAAGCAGUCUGUACAAUACCGGAGCCCAACCCCGGACCUGCAGACUGGACUGUGUCUCUUGGAUAGUUCAGGGGCAGGCGGAAUUCCUGGUGUAGCGGUGGAAUGCGUAGAGAUCAGGAAGAACACCGAUGGCGAAGGCAGCCUGCUGGGGACUCAUCGACGCUGAGGCUCGAAAGUGCGGGUAGCAAACAGGAUUAGAUACCCUGGUA
rnacentral:rRNA from 1 species